CGAUUAGAAAGGCCUGCUCGCAGAAGUGUUUUAGGGAGCAUUUGACAGUGAUGAGGGGUGGUCGUUUGACCGUGGACCCGUAGCGGAUGCAGGCAAUGAGGCAGUGAUCGCUGAGAUCCUGAUUGAAAACACCAGAGGUGUAUUUGGCGGGCAAGUUGGUCAGGAUAAUAUCUAUGAGGGUGCCUAUGUUUACGGAUUUAGGGUGGUACCUGUUGGUUUCCUUGAUAAUUUGUGUGAGAUUGAGGGCAUCUAGCUUAGAUUGUAGGACUGCUGGGGUGUUAAGAAUAUCCGUUUAGGUCACCUAACAGAACGAACUUUGAAGACACAUGGGGGGCAAUCAAUUCACAUAUGGUGUCCAGGGCACAGCUGGGAGCUGAGGGGGGUCUACAACAGGCGGCAACAGUGAGAGACUUAUUUCUGGAGAGAUUCAUUUUUAAAAGUAGAAGCUUGAACUGUUUGGGCAUAGACCUGGAAAGUAUGACAGAACUUUGCAAGCUAUCUCUGCAGUAGAUUGCAACUCCUCCCCCUUUGGCAGUUCUAUCUUGACAGAAAAUGUUGUAGUUGGGUAUGGAAACCUCAGAAUUUUUGGUGGCCUUCCUAAACCAGGAUUCAGACACGGCAAGGACAUCAGGGUUGGCGGAGUGUGCUAAAGCAAAGUCAACAAAUGAGAGUGCCUGGGGACACGCAGGGCCUGAGAACCUCCACAUCACCCGAGGAACAGAGGAGGAGUAGGAUGAGGGUAUGGCUAAAGGAUAGCAAAACUGGUCGUCUAGUGCGUUGGGGACAGAGAAUAAAAGGAGCAGAUUUCUCGGCGUGGUAGAAUAGAUUCAGGGCAUAAUGUGCAGACAGGUAUGGUGAGGUGCGGGUACAGUGGAGGUAAGCCCAGGCACUGAGUGAUGAUAAGAGAGGUUGCCUCUCUUGACACGCUGGUUAUACUGGGUGAGGUCACCGAAUGUGUGGGAG
rnacentral:lncRNA from 1 species